rnacentral:rRNA from 1 species
CAGCCGCCGCGGUAAUACGGAGGGAGCUAGCGUUGUUCGGAAUUACUGGGCGUAAAGCGCACGUAGGCGGUUAUUCAAGUCAGAGGUGAAAGCCCGGGGCUCAACCCCGGAAUUGCCUUUGAAACUAGAUGACUGGAAUCUUGGAGAGGUCAGUGGAAUUCCGAGUGUAGAGGUGAAAUUCGUAGAUAUUCGGAAGAACACCAGUGGCGAAGGCGACUGACUGGACAAGUAUUGACGCUGAGGUGCGAAAGCGUGGGGAGCAAACAGGAUUAGAUACCCCGGUAGUCCCUGUCUCUUAUAC